rnacentral:rRNA from 1 species
AUUGAACGCUGGCGGCAGGCCUAACACAUGCAAGUCGAGCGAGAGGCGGACGGGUGUGUAAUGUCUGGGAAACUGCCUGAUGGAGGGGGAUAACAACAGGAAAAGGUAGCUAAUAUCGCAUACCAUCAGAUGUGCCCAGAUGGGAUGAGCUCGUAGGUGGGGGAACGGCGCACCUAGGCGACGAUCCCUAGCUGGUCUGAGAGGAUGAACAGCCACACUGGAACUGAGACACGGUCCAGACUCCUACGGGAGGCAGCAGUGGGGAAUAUUGCACAAUGGGCGCAAGCCUGAUGCAGCCAUGCCGCGUGUGUGAAGAAGGCCUUCGGGUUGUAAAGCACUUUCAGCGGGGAAGCGUUACCCGCAGAAGAAGCACCGGCUAACUCCGUGCCAGCAGCCGCGGUAAUAC